rnacentral:misc_RNA from 1 species
AACUCUCAACCCCUCUGUUUUGUAAUGAGACGGGCGUGGGCUUGGAUCGUGGCUGUUUGCCGGACGCUUUAGCGACCAGCUCGGCUGAAAUACAUGAGCGAACCACAUUGAAUGCAGUGACGGCUUGACUCGGCGUAAUAAUCAUAUCUCGCUGAGGACGUCCAUUAUUCAGAGCUUGGCGCUUCUAAUACAAUAAAUUCAUAAC